rnacentral:rRNA from 1 species
ACGGGAGGCAGCAGUAGGGAGUAUUGCACAAUGGGGGAAACCCUGAUGCAGCAACGCCACGUGUGGGAAGAAGCAUUUCGGUGUGUAAACCACUGUCGUGAAGGAAUAACGCUGGACCUCGGUCCAGUUGAAUGUACUUUGAAAGGAAGCACCGGCAAACUUCGUGCCAGCAGCCGCGGUAAUACGAGGGGUGCAAGCGUUGUUCGGAAUCACUGGGCGUAAAGGGAGCGUAGGCGGAGACGCAAGCAGUCUGUACAAUACCGGGGCCCAACCCCGGACCUGCAGACUGGACUGUGUCUCUUGGAUAGUUCAGGGGCAGGCGGAAUUCCUGGUGUAGCGGUGGAAUGCGUAGAGAUCAGGAAGAACACCGAUGGCGAAGGCAGCCUGCUGGGGACUCAUCGACGCUGAGGCUCGAAAGUGCGGGUAGCGAACAGGAUUAGAUACCCUGGUA